rnacentral:rRNA from 1 species
AUUGAACGCUGGCGGCAUGCUUUACACAUGCAAGUCGAACGGCAGCGCGGGCUUCGGCCUGGCGGCGAGUGGCGAACGGGUGAGUAAUACAUCGGAACGUGCCCAGUAGUGGGGGAUAGCUCGGCGAGAGCCGGAUUAAUACCGCAUACGACCUGAGGGUGAGAGCGGGGGAUCUUCGGACCUCGCGCUCUGGUAGCGGCCGAUGGCAGAUUGGCUAGUUGGUGGGGUAAAGGCCUACCAAGCCGACGAUCUGUAGCUGGUCUGAGAGGACGACCGGCCACACUGGGACUGAGACACGGCCCAGACUCCUACGGGAGGCAGCAGUGGGGAAUUUUGGACAGUAGGCGAAAGCCUGAUCCAGCAAGGCCGCGUGUGUGAUGAAGGCGUUCGGGUUGGAAAGCACUUUUGGCGGGAACGAAAAGGACUGUGCCAAUACCACGGUUCGGUGACGGUACCCGCAGAAUAAGCACCGGCUAACUACGUG